GACGAACGCUGGCGGCGUGCUUAACACAUGCAAGUCGAACGGAAAGGCCCUGCUUUUGUGGGGUGCUCGAGUGGCGAACGGGUGAGUAACACGUGGGUAACCUGCCCUUGACUUUGGGAUAACUUCAGGAAACUGGGGCUAAUACCGGAUAGGAGCUCCUGCUGCAUGGUGGGGGUUGGAAAGUUUCGGCGGUUGGGGAUGGACUCGCGGCUUAUCAGCUUGUUGGUGGGGUAGUGGCUUACCAAGGCUUUGACGGGUAGCCGGCCUGAGAGGGUGACCGGCCACAUUGGGACUGAGAUACGGCCCAGACUCCUACGGGAGGCAGCAGUGGGGAAUAUUGCACAAUGGGCGGAAGCCUGAUGCAGCAACGCCGCGUGCGGGAUGACGGCCUUCGGGUUGUAAACCGCUUUCGCCUGUGACGAAGCGUGAGUGACGGUAAUGGAUAAAGAAGCACCGGCUAACUACGUG
rnacentral:rRNA from 1 species